rnacentral:tRNA from 1 species
UCCAAGGUGGCUCAGUGAUAAAGAAUCUGCCUGCCAAGCAGACGACCUGGGUUCAAUCCCUGGGUCAGGAA